GACGAACGCUGGCGGCGUGCUUAACACAUGCAAGUCGAACGAGACGAUUGAAAGCUUGCUUUCGAAAGUCGAGUGGCAAACGGGUGAGUAACGCGUAGACAACCUGCCUUUGAGAUGGGGACAACAGUUCGAAAGGACUGCUAAUACCGAAUGUUGUAUAUUUUCCACAUGGAAGAUAUAUUAAAGAUGGCCUCUAUUUAUAAGCUAUCGCUCAAAGAUGGGUCUGCGUCUGAUUAGCUGGUUGGUGGGGUAACGGCCUACCAAGGCGACGAUCAGUAGCCGGUCUGAGAGGAUGAACGGCCACAUUGGGACUGGGACACGGCCCAGACUCCUACGGGAGGCAGCAGUGGGGAAUCUUCCACAAUGGACGAAAGUCUGAUGGAGCAACGCCGCGUGAGUGAAGAAGGGUUUCGGCUCGUAAAGCUCUGUUGUCGGGGACGAAUGUGCAGUAUUUGAAUAAAGUAGUGCAAUGACGGUACCUGACGAGGAAGCCACGGCUAACUACGUGCCAGCCGCCGCCGUAA
rnacentral:rRNA from 1 species